rnacentral:rRNA from 1 species
UACGUAGGGAGCAAGCGUUGUCCGGAAUCAUUGGGCGUAAAGCGCGCGUAGGUGGCCCCAUAAGUCCGCUGUGAAAGUCAAAGGCUCAACCUUUGAAAGCCGGUGGAUACUGUGGGACUAGAGUACGGAAGAGGCGAGUGGAAUUCCUGGUGUAGCGGUGGAAUGCGCAGAUAUCAGGAGGAACACCAAUAGCGAAGGCAGCUCGCUGGGACGUUACUGACACUGAGGAGCGAAAGCGUGGGGAGCGAACAGG